rnacentral:SRP_RNA from 1 species
UCGUGCUAGACGGGGAGCUAGCGGUGCCCUGUACCCGCAAUCCGCUCUAGCGGGGUCGAUGUACCUGCUGGCGGCGCGCACGAUACCGGUUCAACCCUUCGGCAGCGGCGCAGAUGGCUGGGCUCCGCGCAUCGGCAAGCAUCUGAACCGUGUCAGGGCCGGAAGGCAGCAGCACUAAGGAUGACUUCCCGAGUGCCGCGUGACUACCUGGCCGUAGCCGUUGGACGAGGGCUUCCGGGCGCCGACGCGACAACAGCAGGGCGCACGA